rnacentral:rRNA from 1 species
UACGGAGGGAGCGAGCGUUGUCCGAAGUUACUGGGCGUAAAGCGCGCGUAGGCGGGGGAUUAAGUGAGAAGUGAAAGGCUGGGGCUCAACCCCAUGCAGUGCUUCUCAUACUGGUCCUCUUGAGGGCGGUAGAGAGAAGUGGAAUGGCUGGUGUAGCGGUGAAAUGCGUAGAUAUCAGUCGGAACACCGGUGUCGAAGGCGGCUUCUUGGGCCGUUUCUGACGCUGAGGCGCGAAAGCCAGGGGAGCGAACGGG